rnacentral:lncRNA from 1 species
AGAAAGAAGCCGUAUCGAGGGCGAAAGCCGAACAAACGGAAAAGUACGUAUCAUGAAUUGGAGUGCCUCCAGGCGUUUAUAAGCCCGCUUUCCACGGACUUGUCGACGCGGCCUACAUUCGUCAGGCGGGUCGUCUGCCGCGAUAGCUCUCACCUUACUACGCCGGUCACGUUUUGUUAAGUCCCCGGACCCGCCCAUCGCACGAAAAAAAAAGAACCUUUUGUCGCUUUUUCGCCUUCCUCGCCCGUCUCGAUGCGUGUGAUUUUAUCGUCGUCUCCACUCCGUAAUCAUCUGUGGCCACUUGCGAGUAGCGCAAUCGAUCGUUCGCAGGCGCACUAUUGCAAUCUUCAUGCUCACUUUGCAAAGUUCUGGCUUGCCUCGUUGUCGCUGUCGGCACGCAAGCGCAUCGUGCAGGAGGAGCCGUAUAAUUGUGACCAGCUGCUCGUUUUCCUUUCAUUUCCCUCCAAGGAAUAGCGCACGUCUGCUACAUGCGACGGGAGUUGACAGGAAUCGAGUGACCUUUGCAAGUGACAUUUAGUAUGCUGCUGAGGCAGCACGUGUCUUUCUUCAUAGCAGUAUUGUUUUCCUUACCUGCCAAACAAACAAGGGCAAACGAAAGGCGAACGCAGCCGGGGCUAUAGUUCGGCAAGAAGAGGGAUAGAAGCCAAAUUGGAGACCCCCCACCGCUGCUUUGCGAACGGCUUUACCUCUCUUGAGAAGCUGUGUACGCGCGCAUAUCCCGUACGCAGACAAACAACCGCCGCAGAGCCGGCGCUGGGUCCGGCGGCACACAUUGGGUUUUGUUGGAAGCGCUCUCUUUUCCGGUCAUCGCAGACGCGUGUGCAAGCGCGCAACACAAUGCGUGUCGGCAUCCGCGGCGCGCGUGACAACGGGAGUGUCCGCAUCGGCAGCCACGAAUGAAGCUCUGCGCAUGGCUUCACAACUUCGCCACGCAGCUGAGAUGGAGUUUAGGAACUCUUCAGUGCCGCCCCUAUGAGCAUGUGGUCGCGCCGACAUAACCUGCCUUCCGGCCUCUUCUCUUCUUUCUUUAUUAUAAAUGGGUUACUUUGGAGUGAGUGAGUGAGGUACAAAAAUCUCUGCAGCGAACGCCAGUAACUCGAUCGUAAGGUUCUCGACUGAAACAGACAGCGAAACGUUAAUGCUGCCUAAAAAUAUAACUUCACUUUGUUUCCACCUUACGUUGGCUCUAGUCCAAUCGAUGGAAAGCAGCACCACUGAUCUCUCCCUUUCUCUAUAAAACAUUGCCGGAUUUUUUUUUUUUUUUGCCAAGCUUCUAUAGUGAGAGCUGAUACGUUUCAACACUUCAGUGUACAGCGUAAUUCUACAUACAUAAUACAUGGAUGUGUACACA